CGCCAGAGUCCUCGAAACUCGACUAAUUCCUUACGCGUAGCACCAGACCACCGGCGUGCCCCACCAUGUCAGACGCGGCAGUGGACACCAGCUCCGAGAUCACCACCAAGGACUUGAAGGAGAAGAAGGAAGUUGUGGAGGAGGCAGAGAAUGGAAGAGACGCACCUGCCAAUGGGAACGCUCAAAAUGAGGAAAAUGGGGAGCAGGAGGCUGACAAUGAGGUAGAUGAAGAAGAGGAAGAAGAUGGAGAUGAAGAUGAGGAAGCUGAGGCUCCUACGGGCAAGCGGGUAGCUGAGGAUGAUGAGGAUGAUGAUGUUGAGACCAAGAAGCAGAAGAAGACUGAUGAGGAUGACUAGACAGCAAAAGGAAAAGCUAACCUUACGCACCGUGACCUAUUCACCCUCCACUUCCCGUCUCAGAAUUUAAACGUGGUCACCUUCGAGUAGAGAAGCAGGCCCCCGCCCGCCCACUGCGGGCAGUGCCACCCACACAUGACAUGCGCUCUUCACCACCCCACCAAAACCACAACAUGAAUUGGCAACAUGGGAGGAGAAAAGAACCAGAACUUCCCAGGCCCUGCUUUUUUUCUUAAAAAUACUUUAAAAGGAAAAUUUGUUUGUAUUUUUUAUUUACAUUUUAUAUUUUUGUACAUAUUGUUAGGGGUCAGCCAUUUUUAAUGAUAACGGGUGACCAAACCAGCCUUCAGAGCGUUUUCUGUCCUACUUCAGACUUUACUUGUGGUGUGACCAUGUUCAUUAUACUCUCAAAGGAGAAAAAAAACCUUGUAAAAAAAACAAAAACAACAACAAAAAAAACAAUCUUAUUCUGAGCAUUCCAGUAACUUUUUUUGUGUAUGUACCUAGCUGUACUAUAAGUAGUUGGUUUGUAUGAGAUGGUUAAAAAGGCCAAAGAUAAAAAGAUUUUUUUUUCCUUUUUUUUUGUCUAUGAAGUUGCUGUUUAUUUUUUUGGCCUGUUUGAUGUAUGUGUGAAACAAUGUCCAACAAUAAACCGGAAUUUUAUUUUGCUGAGUUGUUCUAACAA
rnacentral:lncRNA from 1 species